rnacentral:rRNA from 1 species
AUUGAACGCUGGCGGCAUGCUUUACACAUGCAAGUCGAACGGCAGCGCGGGCUUCGGCCUGGCGGCGAGUGGCGAACGGGUGAGUAAUACAUCGGAACGUGCCCAGUAGUGGGGGAUAGCUCGGCGAAAGCCGGAGUAAUACCGCAUACGACCUGAGGGUGAAAGCGGGGGAUCUUCGGACCUCGCGCUAUUGGAGCGGCCGAUGGCAGAUUAGCUAGUUGGUGGGGUAAAGGCCUACCAAGGCGACGAUCUGUAGCUGGUCUGAGAGGACGACCAGCCACACUGGGACUGAGACACGGCCCAGACUCCUACGGGAGGCAGCAGUGGGGAAUUUUGGACAAUGGGCGAAAGCCUGAUCCAGCAAUGCCGCGUGUGUGAUGAAGGCCUUCGGGUUGUAAAGCACUUUUGGCGGGAACGAAAAGGACUGUGCCAAUACCACGGUUCGAUGACGUUACCCGCAGAAUAAGCACCGGCUAACUACGUG